CCCCUCCACCGAUGGGGACAUAUGGAUAUCAGGGGAACACUGGCAGUGUCCCCAAAGGAGUGAAUCCUUACUCUAUGAAAGCAGCAGGUCUAUGGGGCAGCAGAUACCCUACAAUGCAUUUGAAUGAUGGGACCAACUCAAAGCCUCCAAGCCAUGGGCCUGGACAGCUUACUAGACAGCUCUCUGGCUUGCUCCCUCCUUCACACUUUGACCUCAUGGCACCAAUGGUUGUGCCACCUGACAUUCUACCCUACUGAGGCCAAUUAACCAGAGUGGAUUUGCUAAACAUAGAUUUUUUCAGUGUUAAAAAACUUCAGCAUUAAAAAAUAUUAAAAGAUGAUUUUUUAAUUAAAUCUCUCCUUUG